rnacentral:rRNA from 1 species
GGGGAAUAUUGCACAAUGGGCGAAAGCCUGAUGCAGCGACGCCGCGUGAGGGAUGGAGGCCUUCGGGUUGUAAACCUCUUUCGCUCAUGGUCAAGCCGCAACACUGGUUGUGGUGAGGGUAGUGGGUAAAGAAGCGCCGGCUAACUACGUGCCAGCAGCCGCGGUAAUACGUAGGGCGCGAGCGUUGUCCGGAAUUAUUGGGCGUAAAGGGCUUGUAGGCGGUUGGUCGCGUCUGCCGUGAAAUCCUCUGGCUUAACUGGGGGCGUGCGGUGGGUACGGGCUGACUUGAGUGCGGUAGGGGAGACUGGAACUCCUGGUGUAGCGGCGGAAUGCGCAGAUAUCAGGAAGAACACCGGUGGCGAAGGCGGGUCUCUGGGCCGUUACUGACGCUGAGGAGCGAAAGCGUGGGGAGCGAACAGGAUUAGAUACCCUGGUAGUCCACGCUGUAAACGUUGGGCACUAGGUGUGGGGGCCACCCGUGGUUUCUGCGCCGUAGCUAACGCUUUAAGUGCCCCGCCUGGGGAGUACGGCCGCAAGGCUA